UGGUAGGAGAGCGUUCUAAGGGCGUUGAAGCAUGAUCGUAAGGACAUGUGGAGCGCUUAGAAGUGAGAAUGCCGGUGUGAGUAGCGAAAGACGGGUGAGAAUCCCGUCCACCGAUUGACUAAGGUUUCCAGAGGAAGGCUCGUCCGCUCUGGGUUAGUCGGGUCCUAAGCUGAGGCCGACAGGCGUAGGCGAUGGAUAACAGGUUGAUAUUCCUGUACCACCUAUAAUCGUUUUAAUCGAUGGGGGGACGCAGUAGGAUAGGCGAAGCGUGCGAUUGGAUUGCACGUCUAAGCAGUAAGGCUGAGUAUUAGGCAAAUCCGGUACUCGUUAAGGCUGAGCUGUGAUGGGGAGAAGACAUUGUGUCUUCGAGUCGUUGAUUUCACACUGCCGAGAAAAGCCUCUAGAUAGAAAAUAGGUGCCCGUACCGCAAACCGACACAGGUAGUCAAGAUGAGAAUUCUAAGGUGAGCGAGCGAACUCUCGUUAAGGAACUCGGCAAAAUGACCCCGUAACUUCGGGAGAAGGGGUGCUCUUUAGGGUUAACGCCCAGAAGAGCCGCAGUGAAUAGGCCCAAGCGACUGUUUAUCAAAAACACAGGUCUCUGCUAAACCGUAAGGUGAUGUAUAGGGGCUGACGCCUGCCCGGUGCUGGAAGGUUAAGAGGAGUGGUUAGCUUCUGCGAAGCUACGAAUCGAAGCCCCAGUAAACGGCGGCCGUAACUAUAACGG
rnacentral:rRNA from 1 species